rnacentral:snRNA from 1 species
AGACUUUCUCGGCAAGUUUUCGCUUUGACUCGAGGUACGAGUGGUCACACCCAGAACGAAGCUUAUUCGUCGUUCUGCGGAUGUUGACCGUUGUGAUUUCCCUAAGUGUGAGAAACGGAACUGCAUGAUUUAUGGCAGUGCGGGAUUGCGUUUGUGCUCCCCUCU